rnacentral:rRNA from 1 species
UACGUAGGAAGCAAGCGUUGUCCGGAAUCACUGGGCAUAAAGCGCGUGUAGGCGGUACGGCAAGUCUGCUGUGAAAUCCCCGGGCUCAACCUGGGAAUUGCAUUCGAUACUGGAUAGCUAGAGUUCGGCAGAGGGAAGCGGAAUUUCGGGUGUAGCGGUGAAAUGCGUAGAUAUCCGAAGGAACAUCAGUGGCGAAAGCGGCUUCCUGGACCAGAACUGACGAUCAGGCACGAAAGCGUGGGGAGCAAACAGG